rnacentral:rRNA from 1 species
CGCCCAGUGUAAGUCACACAGUAAGGUUUAUUGAAGAUCAAACUUGUCAGUUCAAGGGAGGUUGAGUCCAUUACCGAUGACCCGUAUUUAGAAGACCAGGGGCAUCUGUUCAUAGAAGUAUUAUGGUUCCCGGUGUAUUAAGGCAGAUUUUAAUAAAAGGUAUGUAGUCGGUAAUACGACGAAAACGCUGCAGGCCCGUAACAACGAGGCACGUAGUGGUAGAUUAAACUGACUGCGAGUAAGACCCAGUUCUCUAACCUGUUAACCCACGUGUUAACUUCUUCCGCACGGGCAGUACAUCCGCGGGUAGUUAUUUACAGCAAAGACAACAGUGAUGGCAACUUACCGUGAGUGCGGAUCUGAUUCUACGAACACCUUUCUGUCCUGACCGUACUGAACGUCCCGCAAACAUUGUCCGACGGAUUAUUGAGGUAACGUUUGAUCCUCGAAGGGUCAUGUAGAAGCGACGCGCGACGAGUAGCUAUUGGUGGCGGAAAGGUGGUACUUCGGAGACGGGACCGGGCAUCACGAGGAGAAGGAACCGGAAUUGGUUGUUUAUAAACAAUGACCAUGACCACUGGUCAAGUAGAUGAGACCGAAGCGGCUGUGGUUAGACCAAGAGCUGCCGCGCCGGUACCAGUGCCGUGUACCGCACGACCUGGAUUGGUUACCGAGACGGUCCGAGUUUCCGGUGCGCUAGGUGGGUCGAGGUAAUGCGAAGGUGUUCAAGAGGUUAUCGUCGUGAGACGUUAGGAAGAGGCAAAGGAAACACAAACCGUAGUAGAGGGGUGUGGGUUCGUUACCGAAGUGGAAGAAGUAGAGUGGUUCGUUCUUGAAGAGUCUGCGGGAGGGCUACGUCAUGUACCCGGAGGAAUCGCUAGUCUUGUUGCCGUACCGUUGCUUAGUGUAGAAACGCUAACUCGAGCUGUGUUAGGUUUUGUCACUCAAGGUCCUGUACUUGCUGUUGGUGCAGCCGCAGCUGUAGUUGUCAGAAGUGAGACAAGUCAGUCUGAGGCGACCGAAGAUACUACUAUUCGUACCAUACAAAUUGUUGAACUGGGAACAAUCACCACUAGGAUACGUUCAAACCCACCUGAUGCUGGUUCUCCGGUGUGUCUAGUUACACUAGUACCGGGGCGAUUUGGAACGGUUUGGUCGGUCCCGCGAUUAUAGCUGGUUCGUGCUGGAUAGUUGUCAGGAGUGUCUUAGUCGUAUACAACCUAAGAGUAGUCGUCGUCCGUUCCGGUUGCGCUCUGUAAUACAAGAGCCCACCUCGAAACGGCACCUAUCAGGCCGGGGUCGUUAACUAUAGCGGUCCGACGGGUUCUACGGAGCAGAACCACCGAGGUUUCUAGACAGGUUCAAAGAUCUCUAUUAAGACGGCUAUCGUCGCCGCCGUCGUCCUCGCGAUUAGGAUCACCAAAAAGACGAGCACUCUUCCGUAGACUCCAUACGUCUCGACUCUCUUCUAACCCUCCACCUCAAACCCGGUGUAGCGAAGAGUAUGUUUCUAAAUAAAGAACGGUGGGUUCCUAAGUUCCUGUUCAUGGACAAUCCUUCACCUCCUAAACCUUCCCAUAUGUUUCCUAACGAAGGCCACAGCCGUUGCCUUUAUCGGCACUUCUCUCACACCGUACUAAGCUUAGUCCCCUACUUCCUUAAGCAUUGUCUUCAACAAUCGUAACCGGCGGAGGUUGUGGCGUUAGAACACGGGAAUUAUCCGAUGACGGCCGCUUUGCCACUUGAGGAAGAUCACAUACUUAAGUACAGUUUACCUUCGGAACUGUCCAUGAACAAGUCACUUCUCCCGUUCGGGUGGAACUCGACCCGAGUUUCCAAACCCUAUUAGUUUCUAUAGCGUAGUCGGAAUACGAUGGAGGUACUCCUCACGCUUUUCCAACAGUAGGUAGCUCUGUAGUUUCGUUCAUUGCACGAGGAGCUGCUACUCUACUUACCCGCUAAUCCACUGAAACCUGACCGUUCUGACAUACUAGUACCACAGCUGGGUGUCUGCUGAGUGGACCAACCGUGGUAUCCCAUGAAUCGGGGUCUCGAUCGUUCGUGUCCCUUCCGUUCGGGAGAGUGACUACAUAAAAGAAAGCCGCACAAGUAAGAGCUCCAGUGUACACCCGUUUCCGGAUAAUCCGGUUUGCUUCUUCUCUUGGUCUAGUACAACCAGCUGACCCACGAGGUCGUAACCGUUUUUCCUAGUGGAUCACUAUGUCAUCUACCGUCCGACGUACCGUUGAUACAUCUAGUUCUCCGUACAAACCACGACUUUAAUCCUAACUAUACGAGAGUGGGUAGGUACCUGCGUUCCGGGUCGUACGCAGUUCAAUACGUUAUAGAAUUACCACUGUACGGUGAGGGCCUCGAUUACUAUGGUCGAGUGUACUCGAAGGCCUGAGACCGGAACUACGUCUUGCUUCCCAAGCUAGGGAUACAGUCCAGGAGCAUAGGAAGUAGCUACCAUUCGAUACCAAGUUAUGGAAGGAAGAGUCCUCUUUCUACUAUACGUGUAUGACAGAUAACAGAAAAAGUAUAGUCGCGAAUAAAUUAAAACCAAACUGUACAUAUAACCCAUAGGACUAUAUACUAAUCCCUCACCUGACUAGUCUGACUCACGUUACGUAAUUCUUAGACUUAUUACUUAUACCUUCAACUAGAAAUAAAAGGUGUCCCGGUCGGGUGAAUGGGCAGUACCAAUAAAGGGAGAUCUCUUACUCUAUCUUGAUCCUCCAGGGGUUGGACCGGUCCCAGACGUAACAGUGAACUAUACGUGUGUUUCCUGACACCCCAAGUACUUGUUUAUUUGCUGCUCCCGUACAAAUACACGUGUGUUACAACAUGAAUCUUUUUAUUCGUAAGUGAGAGAGGAUAAUCAUAUUUGUUACAUUCUGUUUUCUACGAUGAUAAGAGACUUCUUCCCCCUCAAGAAAGUAUUCCAAAGAGGUAGGUAAUAUAGAGUCUAACUGAUGAUGUUAGUAGACAUACUGACUUGGUUUUAAAUAGUGUCAUUAUACCGCUCUCUAUUAUACAUUCAGAGAUUAAUCUUAAAAGAAGUAGGUGGACAUAAAAGUUCUAAUAAUCAUUACUUUAAUCCGGAGUUUCAGUACGACAAAACGCAUCCCUAGGUGGGUCCACUAGGGAGUCCUUAAAAAGAAGGUGUAUAGAUUAGUUGACGUUAUAAACCUUAGUUUGUUCG